AGUAACACGUGGGAACGUGCCCUUCGGUUCGGAAUAACUCAGGGGAAACUUGAGCUAAUACCGGAUACGCCCUUAUGGGGAAAGGUUUACUGCCGAAGGAUCGGCCCGCGUCUGAUUAGCUUGUUGGUGGGGUAACGGCCUACCAAGGCGACGAUCAGUAGCUGGUCUGAGAGGAUGAUCAGCCACACUGGGACUGAGACACGGCCCAGACUCCUACGGGAGGCAGCAGUGGGGAAUAUUGGACAAUGGGCGCAAGCCUGAUCCAGCCAUGCCGCGUGAGUGAUGAAGGCCUUAGGGUUGUAAAGCUCUUUUGUCCGGGACGAUAAUGACGGUACCGGAAGAAUAAGCCCCGGCUAACUUCGUGCCAGCAGCCGCGGUAAUACGAAGGGGGCUAGCGUUGCUCGGAAUCACUGGGCGUAAAGGGCGCGUAGGCGGCCGAUUAAGUCGGGGGUGAAAGCCUGUGGCUCAACCACAGAAUUGCCUUCGAUACUGGUUGGCUUGAGACCGGAAGAGGACAGCGGAACUGCGAGUGUAGAGGUGAAAUUCGUAGAUAUU
rnacentral:rRNA from 1 species